ACCACCUCUCCUGGCUCUAUUACCUCUGGUGGCAAUCUCAUCCCUCCUCGAAUCGUCAACCCUUCUGGCCAAGGGUCGGGUACACAUUCAGCCAAGUGCUGUGAUGGACACUCUUUCCUUUGGAGAGAGCAUGAUCAAGAUGUGAAGGAGCUGCAUGUGUUACUGACUGUGCUUCCAAACCACCACUGCUGUUCAGGGCAUUGCAUUUCUCCUAUAUGUAAAACCUUCCCUAGAUUCCAAACUUGAUGAGUCAAGACCUGAUAGAGAGAAGAGAAGAGAAGAGAGAGAGCAGAGAGAACCAGAUAAGUGGAUGAAAGAUGUAAGAGAAGCACAGUCAUUGGGAGAUUUCUGCUGUGGAGGGGAGAAGACUUUUAUUAUAAUAAUAUUAUAAACAAUAGUUACUCUAUGAGGUAAUGUAUUCACUGCAGGUAAUAGAAAAUUAGACUAACAUUGGCUUAAUGAGGUCAGGAUUUAUUUUCCCCACACAAUAUAAAAUCUAAAGGAAGUCAGGCCUCCACAGGGUCUUGCAGGACUGGGGCUCUGUCUGGCCUACUUUUCUCAAUGUGUCAUCCUCAUGUUCGUCCUCUCAUGGUCACAAGAUGAUUGCUGCACCUCCAACCUGCAUUCCAGUCAAGUGGCAAAGUGACCAAGAGGCUACUAGCAAGGCUUUUCCUUUUUAUGGGAAAAGAUCUUCUUCGAGGAAUUCCUACCCAUAUCCCUUUGGCCAGAACUGAGUCAUGUGGUAAUCCUUAUGUGCAGGAGAGACUCAGAGCUUGGGAAUUCACUAUUCUAGCCUCCGUGGUAGAGAUUACCCCAGAAGAGAGAAAGUGAUGGUAAUGGAUUCUGGAUUAACCAUUAUGAGUCAAGCCCAAAUUAUCACAUAAUCAAAGGAAAAUAAUACAUCUAAGCACCAAACUACAAAAAGCUAAACAGCAGUUUAAAAAUGAUCAAAGAUUAUGCAGCCAGAGGCAGCAACAUCAGCCAAUAAAGGUAACACCAACCAAAAGCGAUUGACCAACACUAAAGUGCUUUAGACUUGCUUGGCUUUCAUUUAGCAUCUCAUGAAGUAUUUCUUCUCUUAUAUCGUUGAAGACACCAUGGAGCUGGGAUUGUAACUGGAAAACAUGACAAGGAUAGGGAGUUAGUC
rnacentral:lncRNA from 1 species